UGGGGGAUCGUCUAAUGGUAGGACGCCGGACUUUGAAUCCGUUAAUUGGGGUUCGACUCCCUGUCCCCCAGCCA
rnacentral:tRNA from 1 species